rnacentral:rRNA from 1 species
UACGUAGGGUGCAAGCGUUAAUCGGAAUUACUGGGCGUAAAGCGUGCGCAGGCGGUGAUGUAAGACAGAUGUGAAAUCCCCGGGCUCAACCUGGGAACUGCAUUUGUGACUGCAUCGCUGGAGUGCGGCAGAGGGGGAUGGAAUUCCGCGUGUAGCAGUGAAAUGCGUAGAUAUCCGAAGGAACAUCAGUGGCGAAAGCGGCUUCCUGGACCAGAACUGACGAUCAGGCACGAAAG